UACGUAGGGUCCGAGCGUUUGUCCGGAAUUAUUGGGCGUAAAGAGCUCGUAGGCGGUCUGUCGCGUCUGCUGUGAAAACUCGGGGCUUAACCCCGGGCCUGCAGUGGGUACGGGCAGACUGGAGUGCGGUAGGGGGAGAAUGGAAUUCCUGGUGUAGCGGUGGAAUGCGCAGAUAUCAGGAGGAACACCGAUGGCGAAGGCAGUUCUCUGGGCAGUAACUGACGCUGAGGAGCGAAAGCGUGGGGAGCGAACAGG
rnacentral:rRNA from 1 species